rnacentral:rRNA from 1 species
UAUGUGAUCGUCUCUCGCAUAUCAAUAAGCGGAGGAAAAGAAACUAACAAGGAUUCCCUUAGUAACGGCGAGUGAAGCGGGAAGAGCUCAAAUUUGAAAUCUUCAAGGUUCUACCUUGACGAAUUGUAGUUUAAAGAAGUGUUUUCUGUUAGUGGAGUGGCAAAAGUUCUUUGGAAUAGGACAUCAUAGAGGGUGAGAAUCCCGUAUUUGGUCAUUCCUUCUAGCUUUGUGAUACACUUUCAAAGAGUCGGAUUGUUUGGGAAUGCAGUCCAAAAUGGGUGGUAAAUUUCAUCUAAAGCUAAAUAUUGGCGAGAGACCGAUAGCGAACAAGUACCGUGAGGGAAAGAUGAAAAGAACUUUGAAAAGAGAGUUAAACAGUACGUGAAAUUGUCAAAAGGGAAGCGUUUGACACCAGUGUUGUUUUUCUGAAAAUCAAUUAAAGAACUGUUUAUGCUAAGUUGUUUAGACUUUAUCAGCUAAUCUGUUUAGUUUUGAGCUUUUCUUUAAUGCACUUUUCAGUUAACAAGUCAACAUCAAUUUCUUUUGCUGUAAAAAAGCUUGAGGAAGGUGGCUUGAGAUUCGUCUUAAGUGUUUAUAGCCUCUUGCCUAUGCAGUCGGAGAGAUUGAGGUCUGCAGCGUAGAUCCUUCGGGGCUAAAUGCAUUUGUGCUAAGUUAUAGCAUUUUAUAGACAACUUGUUGACUAUGAUUUGUCUUGUAGCUUACUCGCUUAUGUUAUUUUACCUACGCUUAGGAUGUUGAAUCUGUGCGAGACUAC